CUUUUUGAGGCAGCUACCAGAAGGGAGCACCAAGCAGAUGCAGCUCCCCUUCCCUCCCAUUCCACCAUCCACUGUCCCCAGCAAGAACCUGCGGGAGGGUGGCCCAAUGGGGAGAAAACUAAGGAUUCGGUGUUGGGACCACUCCUGCCCUGACCUGCCCUGUGACUCCGUCAUACUCUCCAAAGGCCAGACCCUCCUAGACCAGCUGGAACCACCAUCAAGAUGUCCCCAGCCAUGUCAGACUCUGGGGCCCCAGGCGGAGGGCAACCAGAUGUCUUCAGCUCCAAGUCUGGCCUCUCCUCCCAGCAAGCAGCCAUUACAGAAACUGAGGCUUGGCCAGGCGUGGUGGCUCACACCUGCAAUCUCAGCACUGGGAGGCCAAGGUGGGCAGAUCGCUUGAGCCCAGGAGUUUGAGACCAGCCCGAGGAACAUGGCGAAACCCCAUCUCUACAAAAAAUACAGAAAUUAGCCAAGUGUGGUGGCACGUGUCUGUAGUUUCAGCUACUCAGGAGGCUUAGGUGGGAGGAUCACCUGAGCCUGGGAGGUAGAGGUUGCAAUGAGCAGAGAUUGCUCUCCAGCCAGGGAGACAGAGUGAGACCCUGUCCCAAAAUAAAUAAAUAAAUAAGAAUAAAAUUUAAA
rnacentral:lncRNA from 10 species